rnacentral:lncRNA from 1 species
UCUGCCUCUGCCUGCACAUUGUGCGUGCGUGUUGGCGUGUGACCUUGGGGUCUUGAAAAGACUGAUGAGAAUAAUGAUGCUUGAUCAAUAUCAACUCUUACUCUUUCAUUAAAAAAAAAAAAAAAAAUCAACCCUUACCCUGGUCUGAAGGGUGUCAUAGAUGUCACUAUCUAAUUUACUUUUGUGGCCGUAGACAAAGGUUCCACUUGUAAAAGGGUAAUUUGAGGUUUCCCCACUGCAAAGUGCAUGGCUCUUUUGUUUGCUUUUUAUGGGUAAGAUUUGCUGAAUACAAAGAGAUCUCAAAUCCCGGAUCUCAAAAUUCUGUACAUGCAUACCAUUUGAGGUAGGCAGUAAAGUCAGCUAUUUGGAUAGGUCUUGAACUUAGCUGCACUUAUCUAUUUGAUUGAAAGCAUUUCCUUUAUAUGGAAGAAACAAAUGCAGCUUUUUCCAAGGAAAAUACUAGAACCCAAAGUAGACCUUUGUCUUUUUGAGUUAGGGGAAGGCUUGCAAGUGUCAAAUAGCUUAGCCUUUUUUAGAUGUGCACACAGUGCAAAGCCAUACUAUUUUGUUUUUAUUUACCCAAAAUUACUAGUUUUUGGCCUAAUUCAGAUAACCCAGAUUCUGAGUAUCAGUUUAGUUGGCAACGGCAACUUUUUAGUUUGAAUUGUAUCCGACAUUUUUGAGUCGUGGAGAGAUUUUCGUGAGGAGGACGCCGAGGAAAGGGGAAAAUAAAAAAGUUGAAACCAAUAGUUGAGCUCCAAUCCCAUAGGUCUCUGUCCCAUCUGACCAAAUCAAAGUCUAACACGACUGUUUUGCCGACUUUCUCAGAACCGUCUGAUCAAAUCAGAGAUGCACGUGUCAAAGCAAACGUUAAGGUCGAGGAAAAUGCACUCACACAUUUAUGUGAGAAAACAAAUACUUGAAGUCAAUGCCCUCUGUUGUUAACUCGUAAAGUGGUAGAAAGUACACGGUAGAGAGCAAAAUUUACAGAGAGAAUUGUGGAGAGACACACAGAAAGAGAAUGAAAAAUUGGAUAAUUUUUCCAUGGAUUUGAGAUCUAGAGGAGGAGAUAGAGCUUCAGCUUCGUGAAUAUAUCAAUUUAAAGAUUUUUCGUAGUCAACUUAGAAGAACAGAGAGAGAGAGAGAGAGAGAGAGAGAAGAGUCUGCUGAAGAACCAGUCUUGAGCUUCCUUGGGAAAAUGGUUGAACAGAGAAAUCUUCAAAAACCCAAUACUCAAAACGUUAUGAUUAUCCAAUUGCUCGUGGGUUUCCGGGAAAGUUUCCAGCUUGGUUCUUCUAAUUGAGCUCAACAACCCGAAUAGGGAACUGGGUUUUGGAUUUGGGUCAGUUUUCCUAGCUGUCUCUGCUUCUGAUCAGAGAAAAGUGAGGUGUUCCACAGUAUUCUGAUGAGAAAUGGGAGAAAAUGCAGCAGCUUUGCAUACAGCUGUGAACUCCGUACAGGCAUUAGGAAGAGGCUUCGACGUGAACUUCGAUACAAGGUUGCUCUACUGUAAGGGAGUGGCAGGGUCUAGGAUACUAGAGCUUGAUGAGGAGCACACUAGGGAUCUCUGCCUUUAUGAUGAUAUAAUUGUGCCAAAUGUUUCUAGGGACAUCAAGCAGUCUGAGGAAUCCAUGGGGCGUCAGAGUUCUGGAGUCUGCAGCUUCCAUGAGGUAUGCUUAUUAGCUUAUGUUAGCCUUUUGUUAUUGUACUUUCUUUGAGGGUUUAGUGGAUGUCUGCAUGUUGUAGGUGCAUUAAGGUUUGGGGUUAGGAGUUUGUGAAUUAAGUUUAGAUUGCAAACAGCUUACUAUGCUGAGAUUGUGGUGAAAGUGGAUAAGUGUUGAACUAAUGAGAUUGAUGUUCAUUGAGAAAUAUGUCAUGAAAUUGAAUAAUCAGCAAUGAAGAGUUGCAGCAAACUAAUUGAAACUUCUUAGGUUUUUUUUUAUAAAAAUUAUCGGACCCAUUUAAUUUGAAGGAGUGGAAAUUAUUCAGCUCCGAAUGCCUCCACCUCUGUGUUUUGUGUUCUUCCUUGUUUCAUAUGUGAUGGACAUGUUUUUAUAACCUUGCGCCCAUAAUAGAUAAAACAUUGUCUACUUCCUUUUGAAAAUGUAUUGAACUAGAAAAUGUUCAAGCACCGCUUGUUAGGUACUUGUUUGAGCUAGUUUACCAGCCAAACUCAGGAUCAAAUUCUAAGUUUAAUUAGGAAAAUAAAGCUUGCACAAGAGUAGCAUCUUUGAUUGUUUGAGUGGUAUUGAGGCAUUCGUGAUUAUGAUCAAGAACAUUUGUGGUCCGUUGCAUUUUUUAAGAGGCUGUGACUGCCUAUAAAUCCGUGUGUGUAUAAAGAGAGAGGGAGAACCCCUCUUAAAAGAAUUGAUUAGCUUAAAGCAUAAUGUAGAGAACGAACAGCAUAAUACUUUCAAUGCAUGAAGUUAUUUAAUAUAUUCCUCAUGGCGAAUGAUUGCAGAUGGUUGAGUAUUUUAAUCAAAAGUCUAAUGCAUCUGGAGGCUUUCCUCUUGGGAGUUUCAACUUUGCAUUUAGCUUCACUGGUUCAAAGCACAUUGAUGCUGCAGCCACGAAGACCCUUUCUGUGGAUGGAUUUUAUAUUCCACUUGCUAAGGUCCAGCUUUUCAAAACACCACUAGUGUUGCAAGAAAAUGUGAAAGAGGCUGUCCCGACUAAUUGGGAUCCAACAUCUUUGGCAAGGUAUGAAUAGUUAGAUCUUUAGUGAAAAAAUAGUGAAAAAAUAGUUUUAAAUGCUCCCUAAUUGUUGGCUACUCUUUCUUGACAGCUUUAUUGAAAAUUUUGGGACCCAUGUCAUCACAUCUGUAACAAUUGGUGGAAAAGAUGUAAUUUAUGUCAAACAACACCAGUCAUCUCCUUUGUCUACAAUGGAGAUCAAAAACUAUGUCCAGGAUAUUGGAACUCAGAGGUUCUCAGACACAGAAAGCAAUAGAAGUUCAGGUCAAAUGAAAUUCAAUGAUAAGGCUAGUUCUGCUUUGUUUCUUUUCCUUGUCAUUAUUUAAUAUAGCUUCCUUUUUUUAAAAAACUUGAAAUCUAAUUUCUAAUUAUCAUUUUUUUAAAAUAUAUGUUUCAGGGUGUUGAUUCUGGUUUAUAUAACAGUCAAGGGAUAUACCCUCAGCCCACUACUGCACCAUAUCUUGCUGGGAAAGAAGUAUGUUACAAGUAUUUAUCAUUUGUAUAUGUAUUGCACUUAAUGAUUUUUGUUUAUUCAUUUAUUUUUUCUUCUUUGAACGUUUAAUUUCAUUUUCCCAAGUUGUGAUACUUACUAUAUGUGAUUUCUCAUUACCUUGGAUCAGGAUGUCACAGUCAUUUUCAGAAGAAGGGGAGGGGACGAUCUGGAGCAAAACCACACCCGAUGGGCAAGAACUGUCCGGUCCUCUCCAGAUGUAAUCGAGAUGACAUUUUUCCCGAUAACAGCUCUCCUAGAAGGGGUAACUGGAAAGGAACACCUUACUCGAGCGAUUGGUCUUUAUCUUGAAUGUAAGACAACUGAAUCCUUGUAGAUGGAUUAUAGUUUUUUUUUUUUUUCCUGUAAUGUGCUCUAUUAUUAGCCAUAAGGUAAUUCUGCUAACUGUUUUGAAAUUCUUCUUGCAGAUAAGCCUCCAAUAGAAGAGCUGAGAUAUUUCCUAGAGUUUCAAAUUUCUCGAAUAUGGGCUCCUGUAUAUGACAGGAAUCUGGGCCCCCAAAGAAAAGAACCUGUUUGUCCAUCCUUGCAAUUCAGCAUAAUGGGGCAAAAACUUUAUGUCAGCCAAGAACAGGUAAGGAGUUUUUCUAGUAAUCAAUCUCUCCUCACUAAGAACAGGCAAGGACUUUUUUUAGCAACUUAAUUGUCAUGAUAAAAACAUAAAUGCUUAUAAUUUAAUUCCUCAAAUGUAAAACACAAUAGUCAUGUCCUUGAGAUGUCUAAAUAGCCCUUAAGAAACUGAUGAAGGAUACUUAACUAGAUGACCCAUUUGUUAAUUUCGUGAUCUCUCGUUCUGAGUUUGAUUCGUGAUUUAAUGACAUAGUGAUAGUCCGUCCAAAUUACAAAUUGUCGUAGGUGAUUUCAUCUUAAUCCUUUUCAACAAAAUUUUGCUACACACAGGUAACUGUUGGACGGAAGCCAGUGACAGGCGUACAGUUAUGUCUAGAAGGAAGCAAGCAGAAUCGACUUUGUAUCCAUCUUCAACACUUAGCAUCUCUUCCAAAGAUCCUUUUACCAUAUUGGGACACCCAUGUCGCAAUUGGUGCUCCGAAGUGGCAAGGACCCGAGGAGCAAGAUAGCCGAUGGUUCGAGCCAGUGAAAUGGAGAAACUUCUCUCAUGUGAGCACUGCACCUAUUGAGAACCCCGAGACCUUCAUAGGUGACCUCUCUGGUGUCUACAUAGUCACUGGAGCACAGCUUGGAGUGUGGGAUUUUGGAUCAAGAAAUGUCUUGUACAUGAAGCUUUUAUAUUCUAGGCUACCAGGCUGCACUAUACGAAGAUCCUUGUGGGAUCAUACCCCAAAAGAAAAGUCAAAGAAACUGACGUCCACCAGUGACUCAAGUUCAGGUUCAAGAGAAAAUGUUGCGGGAAACAAGUUGGUGAAGUUUGUGGACAUGUCCGAGAUGAGCAAGGGGCCGCAAGAUGAUCCAGGUCAUUGGUUGGUUACGGGUGGAAAGCUUGGUGUGGAGAAAGGAAAAAUUGUUUUGAGAGUGAAAUACUCGUUGCUAAAUUAUUGAGUCUAUACAUUUGCAUGAUGGAUGUGCAGUGGUGGUUUUUGUUAGGGGAAGAGGCAGUGUCUUUUGAUGUUCAUCCUGCAAUGUAACCUUUGGCUGUGUGAUGGACCGAAUGAGAAGAGGAUGUGUCUUUGGGUUGUUUUAGAGUGUGAGUAGAUACUGCCUCUUGAAAUAUGUUUGUAAGUAAAGUUUGAUAUGUUCGAGUUGAUUUGAUGAAAGAAACCAUGCUGUAGAGCACUUGUUUCCUUCAUUUCCACGGAUCAUAAUUAACUUCAUUGAUUUUACUUACAUUAUAAUUUUAUUUUACAAAAUCAAAGAUGCAAACUGCAAAGCAGUUUUAUGCAUGAUUUAUGAACAAGUCUAUGUAUAAGUCAUUCUUGUCCACAGAUUAUCUAAAAUUGACCACCUUCAAAGGUCUGUCCAAAUUUCCAACUAGCAGGCACGACAUUGGAGCUGGUGAGUGUGAGUCCAUCGCUAGCGGUGACUUUAAAGGAGAGGCUUUGGCCAUUGAGGUAGGAGUUGCUCUGCCAAUUUUGGCCCCAGUUUCUUGACAUUGGCAGCCACCCCGUUUUAGACCCCUUGAUCGAUACUGCUCUCACAUCCCCUGAACCCCCAACAUUUGUUAUCAACACCAAGUUGAAGUAUGAGUGACCAUUCAUGGUGAACCUUAUGCCUCCUUUCUUCACACAUGGAACCCUAAAACAAGAAAAUUACAACUAGGUAAGCAACACAAAUAUCUCCCUAACCAGUUACAUCUAAUUAAGUUUACGACGCGAAUUUUCAUUUCUCAGACAAUCUAGUAUGUUAUGUUGUCAGACUGUCAAUCUAAUCGUUAAUCUGAUGAGACAAAAUUUAGUAUAGUUGUAUCUCAAGAUUCAUAACUUAACAACAUAACAUGUGUACCAUCCAUGAUUUUUGGAACUAAGAUAUGUUACCUUUUGAAGAGUACGGGGACAAUUCCGGCACGAUAGGCUGCAAUGUGCAAGAAAGCAGGCUCAGCCAAAUCGAAGUGUUGAAGAGGAGGAUUGCACCACCCACCAUUGUCAUUGGACAAAGCGUUAUUAGGAGGACAGAAGUUGGUGGCUGUGAUAGUGAUGCCACCAGGGAGGCACCAUUUGGGGUCACUCUCAUGGUUGCAUCUUAAUUGAUAACAUGCCCCGCAGCUUAAACCAUUGUUGAACAGAGCAGUGCUUAGAGCUGCUGUGCUAGUUCCGUAGCCUUGGCUGUACAAGUUUCCGUAACCACAUGCCCCUCCUACAAAAUAUUAUACUCACCAAUUUAUAAAUUAUAAUAAUUCGAAAUUUGAAUAAAUGAAAAACUGUCACGAUCAUAUCACGAACAAAUUUAGUGAGUGUAGAAGUGCUCAUUUCGGAUCGUGAAACUAAUUAAACCAGUAUCAAUCAUUUUAAUUUCUAGCUUACCCAUUGUGCCAGAAGAAUCACUGCCACCAUAAAAUGUUGCAUGGGCAGUUUGCCAUUCACCACCAUAUCUGCCAAUGCCAUGUGUGGCUUGAAGACUUAGAUGGAGGAUAAGCAAGAGAAAUUGCAGGAUGUUCAUUGCUUUCAUAGCCAUUGUUUUAUUUAUCUGAUUCAAUUUGUGUGUCUGAGAGAGAGAGAGAGAGAGAGAGAGAGAGAGAGAGAGAGAGAGAGUGAAAGGGAGGCUACAUAUAUAGUAAAGGAAAAAAGAGUGAGAAAUAUUAGUCGAGCAUUGAAAUGAAUAGUUUGGUUGGGUGCCGUUGUCACGUUGAGCCGACCUGCAAUUGAACAACCAAACUAAAUGGUUUUGAUUCAAACUCGGUGACCAAUCACCAUCUGAUCAAAAUAUUAACAUAAACACAUGCAAAAUGUUAUAUGUUGGGCCCUGCUUCCUUGAUCUGGUCUUCUUUGGACCCAACUCUCCAACUCACUCGUGCUCUUAUCUCUUUUUGCAUAAUUGCUUUGACUUUUGACUUGGGAUUUAAAUUUAAAUUUUCCUUUCCUCUAAACAGACAAGCUUAUAACUAUUAAUGGCAAAUGUCAACCCAAAAACACAAAGAUUAGAUGAUAAUAUAGUUUAAUCAUGUUUUGUUUAGGGUGGGGUGGGGGUGUUUGUGAAAAGUAAGAAGAAUCACGAGAGUAAGAAGAAACAAUAAACUGACGUGUAGUGAUUGUUGGAGGGUUGAGGUCACAUGAAUAUGGAUAUGAGGGAUAGAUAAUAUAGAUUGAUUGGUUGACCUACUGGCCGUCCAACUAAGGGCUCUUGUUAGGAAGAUGAUGAUAUGUCCGGAUUGACAUGUACAUUGUAGAACUGGAAUUGAGAUAGUCGUAAAUUUCCUAAAAUUGUAAGUUUUUUUUAAAAAAAAAUUUAUUUAUCUGUGUAACUAUUUUAAUGUCUAUAAUUUUUAGAUUUUUCAAGGCUUGUAUGGUAUAGUUGAUCCCAUUGAAACUCUCUUCAUUUUUACGGAAUGUUCAAAGGAAUUUCAAUUACCUUAUUUUUAGGAAAAUUUGCAUAAAUGCCACAUGAACUUUUAAGCAUGUGCGAGAUUACCACUUGAACUUUUAAUAUUCAUUAUUAACCACCUAAAUUUUAUAAAAAUGUAGCAAUUUACCACCUACGCGUAACUCCGUUAAAAUUUCUUACCGUUCAUAAAGAAAUCAAUUAAAUAUUGCUGAAUUGUUAUUGAUUUGCAGAGUUUGGCCUCUUGUUUGUGCAGUUGGAGAGAGAGAGAGAGAGAGAGAGAGGUUGGGGGAUAAUUAAUUAGGUUGAAUUCUGUUUUUUUUUAAUUCUAAUAAAUUGAUGAAAAUGUCCUUUAAAAAAUAUCACACGUUCAACAUGUGAUUUUAUUUAAUUGUAAUUUUAGCGGAGUUACAAUAGAAAAUAUAUUGCUAUACUUUGCAAAGUUCGGGUGAUUAAUAGUAAAAAUUGGAAGUUCAAGUGGUAAUCACACAUAUAACUAAAAAUUCAGGUGACAUUUAUACAAAUUUUUCUUAUUUUUAUUCACACGAUGACAUCAUAUAUUGAAUUGUAUACAUUAUUACAUUUUGCACAUUGUCUUUACAUUUUAUUAUAGCCUGACAUACGUCGGCCAUAACGUAUAAUAUUUGUUAAUUAUGAUGAGAUGAAAGCACAUAGGAAUUAAAGCUUUCUUUAAAAGAAUGGUAAAAUGUUUGGAGAAUAAGUUUGAGCUUCCGUCAUUCAUUUUUGGCUUCGGUUUCAAGCUUUGUGUCGUUCACUUGUGUUUCAAGCUUUUCCUCGUUGAGUUUGUUGGAUAAAGCUUUUCGUUUCUUCUGAGUCUCACUUGGGAGUUUCACAUCUGUUGCCAAACCAACAAUUUCAAGAAAUCUUAUUACAUACCAAGUGACAUCAACUUCCCACCAUUCGAAGCCAUGCCGAGCUGAGUAUUGAAAAGCAUGGUGGUUAUUGUGCCAACCUUCUCCAUGUGUAAGCAAUCCAAAUACCCUAAACAUGCAAUUACAAAAUAUUAUUUGAAUACACAAAUACACACAUAUCUACAAUAUUUGAGUGCAUAAAAACUACAAUAUUACCAGUUGUUUCUAGACAUAUCACCAGUAUCCCAUACUUUCUUGCCCCAUCUAUGGCAAAUUGAAUUUAGUGCAAAAGUAGCGUGGGCAAAUAAUGCCGCCCUCACACCCUGCAAACAAAGAAAACCAAACGUCGGUUCAAGGCUGAGCUAGAAUUUUAUUCUUUUGCUCAACAAAGCUAGCACUUCACUAACAAAGAAAAACAACAUUAGGAGUAAUCUUACCAAUCCCCAAGCUAAAAAGGGCAUUCCUCCUAGGGCAUAUAGUAAAACUCCAAAAGCUAUUGAGUGAAGCGGGUAUGUGACAUGAAGAAACCUAUAGAACUUCUGCCUUUUUAAAUCAUCAACAUUCUUUAGCCGUCCUUCAUACUGCAAAAAUCAACUUAGGUGUUAAAAAAUUGUUACGUAGUGCGUGUUGAGAAAGAUAGAAAAAGAAUGUGUUGUUUUCUAUACACUUCCAAAUCGAGAACGAUAAUCAAAGAGCCAACCAAUGUGACUAAACCACAAUCCUUUGAUGGGGCUAUGAGGGUCGUCCCACGUGUCAGUAAACUGGUGGUGAUUCCUGUGUGUGCUCGCCCAUUCAAUUGGACUUCCCUGCAAACCAAAAUCGUAUAUAAAAAUUUAUAAAAAACAAAGUGUUACAAUUAAAACUUGUCACAUUUGAUUCACAGACCUGAACUGACAAUACACCGCAAUAGGCAAAGAAAUAUUCAAGCCAUUUGGGAAGCUUAAAACUCCGGUGGGAAAGUUGCCUAUGGUAAGAUAGAGUGACACCUAGGCCUGUGAGACAAUAGAGUGCCACGGCCAACCAAAAUGCCCUCCAGUUGAAAUGAAAUGGCGCCAAAAGAACAAGGACAUGCAAAGUGGAAAGGAAAACGAUUGUGCCUAUAUCCACAAAGUUCCAUUCCCUCCCCAAAAAUUCAACCCUCGACUUCACCACCCAAGCUGGCAUAUUUGUCACACAGACUCUUAGUUCUGCUUCUUUAGCAAGUACCUUUGUCUGAACUGUUUAUGAGAAGAUGUUCGGGUACACUUACAUAUAUAUAGUUAUAGUUUUAAAUGGAUAAUGAGUUUCUAGCUUCUUCGACCUCCUGAGCAUUCAUUUCCAAGCUAAAACUCUUAAACGAAGAAUGUGGCUGGAUUUCAUGUGUGGGGGAUGCAUAUUUCAUUCAUUAAUUUAGUGGGGCAUGAUGUUUAAACGACUUUAUCUUCAUUCAUUUGAUAUACAUUGUUGGCUCAUUUUCUGAUAACUUAAAUUUUUAGAGAGUGAUAAUCUAACAUAAUAUCGUUGCAACUCCGAUUUUAUAGUCUUUGUUCUGUCUUUCCUUCGGACAGCCUUAUUGACAGCUUAAACUUUUGGUCGAGUGGUAAUCUACCAAUCUCUUCAUGAACAAUAUAAGAAGGGCCUUUUUGCAUGUAUUUGCUGGAGCUAUAGCAUUUGCCACGUCCCCAAAUAUGCGUUGCAAGAAUAUAAUUUCGAAGAUAAUAUCGCAACAAUUGCAUGAUAUGAAUGGUGAUUGUAGGGCCAUCCGGGGCGGAGCUAGAAUUGUAAAGUUGGAGGGGCCGAAGUAGAAAAUACAAGUAUAUAAAAUACUUAAGUGUUCAAUACUUACAUGUUUAGAACUAAAUAUUUCUAAUUGAGUCAUGUCUAAUUUGUUUUGGAGGAAAUUUUAACUUAAAUUCUAAAUUGUUUAUUACAAAUUCUAUAUAUUAUAUAUAAUAUAAUAGAUGAGUUAUAAAAAUAUGAGGAGGCCAGGGCCACUCCAGGUCUAGAAGUGGCUCCGCCACUGGGGCCACGGAAAAAGAUAUGGUGGAGAAUGAGUAAGUUGAUGGUUGCAACUUGCAUAGACUUUUAUUGCCUUGCAGCUCUAAAAUUAAAAGAUAUGUGCCUUCAUAUUAAUUCGAUUAUUAAAUAUAUGGGCCAAGAUGCGGACCAAUAUCUAGCGUAUUUGUGAUUUUGGUAUAUAACAAUUAAUGGAUUACAGUUAAGGGUGGGCAUCAAUCCAGCCGAACUAAUAAAAUCAGUCGAAUCAAAUCAUAAUUAUCGGUUUAGUUUGGUUUUGAUCAAGAAAAAGUCAAACGGUUUAAAAAUCAAACCAUAUCGUAUGUGAUUUGGUUUGGUUUGGUAGUGAACUUUUAUAAACCGACUUAAACCAAACCGAACGGUUUAUGUGUAUAUUUAUUUAUUUAUAUUUUAUUUACAUGAGUAAUACUCUAAUUAGUUAAUUACUAUAUAUGAAAAUUUGAAUUGAGCUAUAUUAGUUAGUGAAAUAUGAAGUUUUAUGACAUUUUGAGCUUUAGGAUGGUUUCGUACACUAAAAAUGAUUUAUGUAUGAAGCAAGUUGUGAAUUUGUUGGUUAAAAUUAGGCAAACAAUGUUGAAAAAAUGCAAAAAGAAAGAGAAUUGGGCUUAGGCCCAAACCGGGCAAACCAAACCGAACAAAACUGUCUUAAAUUGGUUUGGAUUGGUUCAAUUUCCUUUAUAACUUUUAUCCAAACCAAACCAAACUGUCAUAUUGUAAUUGGUUUGGCUUUGGUUUUGAGGCGAAACCAAUCCAAUCUGGACCAUGCCUACCCCUAAUUACAGCCUAUAUAAACAAAGAAUAUAGUUGCAAAUGUCAACAGGGUCUAGUUCAGUUAAAAAGGAUUUUAAUUUGUAAAUUAAUAGUUUCAUGUUCGAACCUCCAUGACAAUAUAGUAAUAUGUGUGUGUGUGAAAAACCUCCCUCCCACAUAAUUUUAAUUAUCGUUUGUACCAAAAAAAAAAGUAAUAUGAUUGAGAAUAAUGCAUGUGUCCUACAACGCAUCAACGGCUUACCGUCAUCAGAUUAAGAGGAAUGUGAUUCGUCAACCUCCGUCUUGUUUUUGUGUUGACUUCUUGUCAAUCUUGUGUCUCAUUCAUCUUACAAAGGGCCUUAUUGAUCCCCAUGCAGCAUUGGGCCCUCCUUAGUAAGAAGUUCGCAUGUGACCCAACUCUCCAAGAUUUUGUUGUUCAACCUGAACAUCAAUGAAAUCAAGUGGGCCUUUCAACAGGGUGGCUAUAACUGGCAAACUUGAUGUACAAAUCCAAAAGUUUGAUUGGGCUCCCCCCUUGAAUAUGUUAUCAAUUUACAAAUUAAAAAAACAAAAUAAAAAACUUCAAGAAUGUGAAAAAAGAUGCAACAAAAUCAACGGUGGCAAAUUGGUAGGUAACCUUGUCGGAUUUGAAUUGGAUGGUGAAUUCACAACCACAUAUGAGGUGGGCCCACAACCAUUACGAGAAAUAAUAGAGGCCUCACGAGAGGGUCCCGUGUACUCGUCAGUCUCCCAUCUUCCGUUCCGUCGUCCGAAUCAAUCAUAAACGAAUGACAGAGACGUACGACGUGUCGGAAAUCCAGGAUAUAUGGACGCGUGUCUCUGUCUUUCUUUCAUUACUUGUGAUACCGACACUGCGUCGAGGCUCAGCUCCAUCCUUCUCUCUAGGUAAACGUGUUACUUGUCCUCACAAUGCAUAUGACUAGUGCCAAAGGUUCUACUGUUUUAUAUUUAUUUGGAGUAAUGAUUUAAAGGAAAUAUUUCAUGUUUUUAUUUGAAAUACUUAUUCAUUUAGUAGUAUUUAUUUGGCUUAAUUACUCCAGCGUGGCCUGAAAGUAUUGUUAAAUUUUACAUUACCCCUUGAAACUCAAAACGACUUAAUUUGUUCAAUUGAUCAGUGUUUGGUGUCUCACUCAUUCCGAAACAGUAAAAUGUAACCAGUUUUAUAGUGAUGCAACAAACAUGGAGGCACACAAUAACUACAAACUCAUCACAAUUAUUUCAAUGGUGCAUAUUAAUAUAUUUUUGCCUUCUUUUUCCACAAGGAAUGCACAAUAUUAGCUGCGUUAAAAACAAUACUUGAUUAAAAAAGUGAAAUUAGGGUUUCUAGCUAUCAGUCUUAUAAUUAUAGGAAGGAAAAGAAGACUCUACUCAUUUGAAUGCGAAAGCAUUUCUAGCUAUCAAUCUUCAAGGCCUAUGUGAACGUAGGUAGAACCCUAGUUAGUUAGUUUGCUGCAAAUAUGAAUGAAUAAUGCAGGGGAGGGCAGCCGUGGAAGGAGGCUGGACCACAACCCAUUGCUAUUGCUUGUUGGCUUUCGGUGGGAAAGAAAAGGCAUGGGACAAUGUCAAUGUGGUCGGCUCACUUACACAUCAACGGGUGUGGUUGUGGGUGUGGCACACUAACCCAUAAUAACAAAUAUUAUUGGUCAUGGUCAGUCAGAGAGAUCGAUGACUAUUCAAUUGCUCUUGUUGUUGCAAAAGCCAAGGACAAUAGUCUACAAGGUACAGCUACUGUUUUUCCUAAUUUAGAAUGCUUGCUUUCUUUUGCAAAUGCUAUAAGAAAUGUGAGACUCAGUUCUAUCAAUUUCACAUAAUUAUAUUCGGGACUCAUAGCAAUUAUCAAGAAUAAAAACGUAUAUAUACAAAUUCAGAUAAUCUGCAAAAAAUUUACAUUAAAAUUGAACAACGCAGCAUGGGAAGACGAACCCCUGCCUCAGGAAAUGUCAAAUUUUGCCAAUUAAUGCAGUAAUGCAUUCAAGUUCAACUACCAACCAGCAGUCAGUCAGGUUACAUUUAAUUUAACUUUUUUUUUUUAAUAAGCAAUAAUCUAAACGAUAAGAAGGGGGUUACAUUUUACAUUUCUCAAUGACAAUUACACCCUAGAAAACCAGUAACUUUACCAACAAAAGGAGACAAAGAAGAAAAAAUAAAAAAUGGUGACCAACCUUUCCCAAUUCAUAUUGCCCAUGUUCUAUGAGCUUGACCACGAUCCUAAAACUGGUGACCAACCUUGCCUGUGAGGCUAUGACUGUGACUCUUACCCCAAUUACAGGCGACCAUCCUUGCAUGUUAACUGAAUUCGGGCGCCUGUAAUUGAUGAACCACACGUAAACGUAACCUCUAGAUCUACUUCUGUUGAAUUCAUUUUUCAUAUGAGUAUUUUAUUAGAAAUUCCAGAACACAUGCAUGCAUGUGUUACAUCUUUCUAACGCUCUUGCAAUCUCAUUCUCUUGUUAAAGAACCAGAAACUUCAUCAAAAGAUAAUUGUUAGAUUUUUCCAAGUUAAAUGCUGAAAUAACUUUUAGAAAUUUGAUCAAAACGAGGGAUCGAAUCAAAUAAGAAAAAAAAAUAUAUGGUACUUGAAAUAAUUGUGUGGAUAAACUUUGUUCACCUUGCAAUUUUUUCUCCUUUUUUGCAAAUAUAUGAAAUGAACAAUGGGGUUUUUUGAUAACCCAACACAUCUUUCUAUGAGCUGAGACUGUCGUUUAUAGCAAUGCAUGCACAUCGAGUCUCGAUCAUCUUCUGCAUGCGUUUUGGAGGGCAUUGAAACCAGACGUCUACAGUCAGUGCCAUUAGUUCUGGACACAGAAAAGCACAACCUCCCACUACUAUUUUUCCCUAUAAAAACACCACACUCUGCACCCCAUACAUCACUCACCAACAUUAAUUCAAUUGAUCAAAGCACCCCAAGCGAAAGAAACACUACAACAAUUGCCAUGGCUAUCCUUAAGGUGGUUUGUGCUCUCUUCAUGUGCAUGGUGGUGGCUGCACCCUUGAUCACCGAGGCAGCCCUUACUUGUCCUCAGAUUCAGGCCGGGCUUGCCCCAUGUCUGGGAUACCUCCAGCGGGGCGGUGUCCCCGCUGGGGGCUGCUGCCCCGGGAUCAAAAGACUGGUCGGCUCAGCCACGACCACAGCUGAUCGCCAAAAUGCUUGCAAGUGCUUGAAAACAGUUGCUGGCGCAGUCAAAGGCAUAAACCCAGGCUACGCUGCUGCCCUCCCUUCCUUGUGUGGCGUCAAAAUUCCCUACAAGAUCAGCGCCUCCACUAACUGCAAUAGGUAAAUUUUGUUCAUCAAAUAAUCUGACAGUUUUUUUAUAUUAUGUUCUAAAAUUUAAACACACUUUACGUAUUAUUUAUUUUGGGUUUUAUAUGUGUUGCAGCGUGAAGUGAUGAUACGGAGAAGCACGUGGAAAGGAAGGAUGAUAUGAGAUGAUAAUAUAGUAGAAGUAGCUAGGCUACGUUAAGAAUAAAGAAUGAGUGUUCUGUCGUUCUAAUCUCUUUUUAUUUUCAUGCAUGUCACCGAUAUCAGUCGGUUGUGGUUGUACUUGUACGUGAUGAUGGCUCUUACCAUCUUCCUCAGGCAAUCUAUAUCGUUCGUUUAUUUUCCAUAUGCUAGAACAAUCUUUAAUCUCGUUCGUUUCUUUUCCAUUUGCAAGAACAAUCUUAAUUAAUCUAGUUCGUUUGUUUAAAUAUAUAAUUUUUUUUCCUCAUUUGUUUGAAGGCUCAGUAUCCUCGAAGGGAUAGGGCCCAUAUACCAUAAUAUCCCAAAGUCACACACAUUUGAUAUUUUGUUAAAUUUCAUAGAGAUGGACCAUAUUCAUUCAUGCAAAAUUUUAUUGACAAAGUAAAAAAUUAUCUGUGGAAGAAUAUUAUGGGGUGGAUCCUAUCCAAGGCUGUAUCUAACGGUCAAGAAACUUAAAUAAAAUCAAAUGAAAUGUUAUGAUCAGUACCAAAAAUAAAUUUCUUGUUUUAAAAGUUGAGGUAUUCAAAGAAGAUAUUCUAACAAAUUACAAAUUGCAAUAUUUGAAUAAAGUUUUUUGUCACAUCCUGGAUCGGCUCCGCCGUCGCAUGAUAUUAUCCGUUUCGAGUCCCCUGCCAUCAGGUUUUGCUUAUGGGAAUUCACGAGCAACUUUCCAGUGGGUCACCCAUUCUGGGAUUACUCUAGCCCAAACUUACUUAAGUUCGGAAUUCCUAUAAUUCAAAAGCCAGUAAGCUUCCAAAAGGCCUCGUGCUAGAUGGAGGUAAGUAUGUACAUAUAAGACAUAUCACCCCCUCUCCAUUGAUCGAUGUGGAAUGUUACACUUUUUGUUGAAGAGAGUGGGUGUAUGAACAAAUAGUUGGAAAGCUGAAAAGUCGGUCGGAUUUACCAUGAAAGAGAUGGUUCUUAAUAAUUUGCCUCGUUUACAAACAUAAAAACAAUAGAUUUUGAUGACCAGAAGUUUUUUUGUACCUGGUUUUGGAGCAAAACACGAAUGGCAGGGGAGACACGGGUCUGGUGUACUCGAACGUCAACAAGAAACAUUUAAGUGAAACAAAUCAAUUAUGCAGUACGCACACAUUAAUAUCAUGGGACCCCGACCUUGAUUGUGCACCUAACUAAGUUGCCAGCAAGCCCUGUUUUGAACAGAGAUAAGUUUGAGGUACCAAUUAUAAUUUUUUUUUUUUCAGCCAAACUGGGGGAAGACAUUAUCCAAGGUUAAUAUGGUAUUAUCCUGGUUUUACCCUUUUGGGAUAGUCAUGAUCCAUGGGGAAUAAAGUUUUAAUCAAGUGUGACAAUUUCUGUAAAUGACACAAUAACAUAAGAUCUACAUUAUAAUUUAUAUGUCGUGUCUUCAUAACAGGAUUUUUUUUGGUUCGAUAUAUAACAUGAGCUAGCUUGUCACAAAAUUGAUACGAAAAAUAUCUAAAAGAACAUGAUUUCUCUUUGUUUUGGCCUUCUCUUUCAUGUAGGUAGUAAGUUGGGGGAUCAUUUAUGUGAUUAGGCUAAGUUUGUGCUUAAGCGCAUUUAAGGGAUCCAACUGCAAUCUUAAAACUUGAACAUAGUACCCCAAGCAUUAAAUCCACCCCAACUACCAACUGAUUCCUUCCCAACUCCCACACAUAUUUUGGGGGCCAUGUGUAAUAUUUUUUGUUCACAACUACACGUUUGUUGUAAAAGGUUAACGACUGUGGGGAAAUUUAAUUUUACCUUAUCUAAUUUAUGUUUCACGACUGUGAAUUUAAAGACAAAAAUUAGUAUGAUGAAUAAUUCAAUUUUAUAAUAUGAAAUAAAAAUAUUUUACUUACAUCAUAUUAGCAUUAUUUUUAGAGAUUUUUUUGUAUGUAUAAAUUAUGAUGUUAAAAUGAAUUUAUUUAUAAAAUACUAUUAUUUUGAAUCUGACAGUCAAUAAUAAUAAUUGAUGUAAUAAGUAUGCAUCAAUAAUUCACCUCAUUUCUUCUCUAUAUAAACACAAGAGCAUGGUGCCAUACUACUCACUACUCUCAAGUUCCUCAAAUCAAGUGCUUACAAAUCCGUUUCAAACUCCUUUUUUCUUCGAUCAUCAUAGUCGAGAGAGAUGGCUUACUCUGCCAUGACUAAGCUUGCUUUGGUGGUGGCCUUGUGCAUGGUUGUGAGCGUGCCCAUUGCUCAAGCCAUAACAUGUGGCCAAGUGUCCAGCAGCCUUGCACCAUGCAUACCCUACGUGAGAGGCGGUGGAGCUGUGCCUCCAGCUUGCUGCAACGGCAUUAGGAACGUCAACAACUUGGCAAGGACCACCCCUGACCGCCAGGCCGCUUGCAACUGCCUGAAACAGCUUUCCGCCAGCGUCCCCGGAGUCAACCCUAACAAUGCCGCAGCGCUUCCCGGCAAGUGUGGAGUUAGUAUUCCUUACAAGAUUAGCGCCUCCACCAACUGCGCCACGUACGUAUUAAAAAUAAAAAGAACUCCAAGUUUUAAUUUUGUAGGUUUGAUCAAAAUUCAACGGUUCAUAUUAUCUCAAAACCUAACUUUUUAAAUGUGGAUCGUUGAAAUUUUGGUCUAGCUUGUUGAGAAUUAAAUGCGGAACAUUACAUAACUGACUGACUUUUGGGUUUGUUUUGUUGUGGUGUUGCAGCGUGAAGUGAGCUUGAUAUGGGACAAGUAUUUUCGGCCGCAGAUAAUAUUAGAGAGUCGGAAUAAAAAUGUGGCUAUGUGAUCCACUUAGGGAUUCCUCACGACGGAAUCGUUAAGUUAUUCUAUGUAAUCUUUAUCUUUGUAUAACUAAUAAUAUUUAUGUUUAAGUAAUCUUCUUUUUUCCUAUAAUUAUUCAAAUCCCUCUUCCUCAAUCCUAAUAAUCUAAGAAAAUAUUUAUAAAAACAAAAAUAAAACUAGCUUGCUUAAGUCCACUGAGAUACAAAUUAAGACGUGUAUAUUUUAUAAGUGUUCAGUACAACUGUACAAGAAUGCCUGCCCCCACGUGGGUUUGGACCCACACGGAUUCGUGCUCAUUGAAUAAUAAUUCAAUUCUCUGUUCAACUAUGGUUUUUGGCAAGAUAUUCUACUGACCAAAUCCAAAUAGUGAGUUAUUGGUAUAUUGUGUUUUUUUUUUCACUGAGAGGGACGAUUGUAUAAUAAACUUAUACAAACUAUACGGAUGUUAGAACUCGAAUUUCAAAUUUUGUCUAAAAAAAUAAAUACUCUAAAUCACAAUAUUAGUGAGUCUUUUACAUGAUAUUGUGUUUUUAAAAAAAUGGGGAACUAGGGCUUGUGAUGGUAAAUAUCUCAAUCUUACUGACCAACCGGAACAAUGAAGCUAGAUGGUAGGCUGUAUGUUGGUCAUGUGCAUGGUGGUCGGUGCACCACCUGAACUGCGCAGAUUAUAUAGGCUAUAAUUAAGUUUGAUCAAUCUGUGCCUAACAGCAUUUAAGGGACUCAACUGUAACACCGACUUCCUCUCCCCAACUCCUACGCACGUGUUUGGCUCAUGUAAACUUUCUGUUCCCACCUGAAUUCACAUGUGUUUAAGACAUGGUUACCAUGUUACCAAGGUAAUUAUACUCACCUUAAUAUUAAUAGUUAAUGUAAUAAGUACACAUUAAUCCACAUGCUAGCCAUAGAUAACGAGUUUAUACAUAUAAUAUCAAUAGAUAAAACAUAACGAGUGAAGUGUAAACACUAUAUGAUAGUGUGAGUAAUUUCACUCAGAAAUUACUCAUCAAUAACACCAACAUAUUCAUCCAAUGAUCCGAUGAUAAGUCUUGUCACUCGACCUUCCAUUCACCCAAUUUCCUCUCUAUAUAAAUCACCAGACUAUGUUGCCUUACUACUCACCCAAGUCCCCAAACUAAUCAAGUGAAAUUUUCAUACACAAUUUUUUCUCUGAGCAUCAAAGUCAUUAUUUAUGGCUAGCUAUGCAUUGAUUAAGCUUGCUGUGUUUGUGGCCUUGUGCAUGGUGGUGAGUGUACCCAUAGCCUAUGCCAUAACAUGUGACCAAGUCUCCCACAACCUCGUUCCAUGCCUAGACUACUUGAGGAAUUGCGGUGCUGUCCCUGAACCUUGUUGCAGAGGAAUUAGCAACCUCAAUGACUUGGGAAGAACCACCGCUGAGCGCCGGACCAUUUGCAAUUGUCUGAAACAAAAUGCUCCUAGCUUGACCGGAGUUAAUCCAACCUUGGCAGAAGAGCUUCCCGCCAAGUGUGGAGUCAAUGUUCCUUACAAGAUUAGCCCCAACCCAAACUGCGCAAAGUACGUAUCAAAAACCCCACAGUGCUCAACUAUGGUUGCCUCAAAAUUUAAUCUAAUUUGACUGCCAACCAUUGCAUUUUGAUGUAACGGUUUCAUGUCAUCGAAACUCCAAAUUAACUUGGUUUUUAACUAAUACAUGUUUCUCAUGAAGGAAAAAAAAAGGUAGUAUUUUAUUGAUUUUGCUAUGUUUUGUUGUUGUGUUGCAGCGUGCAGUGAACUUGAUGGGAGAUUAAUUUUUCGGCCCCAAAUAAUAUGAGAGUGAAAACAAAGUGUGAUUCCUCAUAGUCCCUAGUACUUCGAUUUUCAUCCACAUGGUGAUGAAUAUUGUAAUACUUAUAUGGAAUUUAUAAUAAAAGAAAUGUUGUUCUCUUUUCUCUUUUACUUAACUUUCUCUUCCUUUUGUAAGAGUUAAAUAAAAAAACGAAACUAAAAAUAGCAAAAGUAGCUCAUCUGGGCAACAAAUUUUGGACCUCUAUUAAAUUGAAUUCAAUAGUUAAUAGUGAAUUGCUAUCGCUCAUCUCAAUAGAAAAGUUCUUCUUAUCGAUAAUUAUAAUUAGGCAUUCAGGCAACAAGAUAACAUCAACAAUUAACAAAUGAGUUCAGUCAAAACGAAAAAAUAAUUUGUCAAUUGGUGAAGAUAUAGAUUAAACUCCUUUAUCUCAUUUUCUUUCAUGAUCAUUACACACAUAGACCAAUUGGACCAACUCACACUGUUGAUGACAGCCCAAGCCGAACCAAUGCCUUGCCAUAUUGGGCUAUUUCAAUAAAGGUAAUGUUAGGCUUAUCACAUUUUUAUACUACUUUGUGUACCACUUCUCUAAUAGAGGUGGAGUCCACCAAUACAAUGGAGUCCAACUUUAUUAAAGAGGUGGUACACAAUAUGGUAUAAAAAAUGUGAUAAGCCUAGCAUUUUCCUUUCAAUAACAAUUCGGCUAAUCAAGAGAAUUCGAGAUCACUUACAACCAUUGGUUGCUGUUGGUCAUGGAUUGAAACGUUAGGCCACGUUUUUGUUUACCAAUCCAAAUUGUAGACCUCUUUAUUAUGAAAGUGAUCAAACGUUAGGACACUUACAAAUAAAAAGUGGAGCUCACUUGUCAAGAUUUAACAUGUACUUUAUUCAUCAAAUAUGGCAAACUCUGGUGCACCAAUGAAGGUUUGCUCAUGUGCAUGGUGGUGGGUGCACCCUCAGCCCAGGCCAUAACGUGUAGCAAUGUGACUGCAGCCAUGUUGCCAUGCAUAACCUGACUGGUAGAGGACCAGGCCAGGGACGGACCUUUAGUUUGGCAAACCUAGGCUAUAGACAAGGUGGCUUCUUUUUUCCAACCAACUCCCUCCCAACUCUCCUACACAUAUUUUUGGGGUCAUGUGUAAUUUUUUUUGUUCACAACUGCACAUUUGUUGUAAAAGGUUAACCACUGUGGGGAAAUUUAUUUUUACCUUAUCUAAUUUAUGUUGCACGACUGUGAAUUUAAAGACAAAAAUUAAUAUGAUGAAUAACUCAAUUUUAUAAUAUGAAAUAAAAAUAUUUUACUUACAUCGUAUUAGCAUUAUUUUUAGAAAUUUUUUUGUAUGUAUAAAUUAUGAUGUUAGAAUGAAUCUAUUUAUAAAAUACUAUAAUUUUUAAUCUAACAGUCAAUAAUAAUAAUUAAUGUAAUAAGUAGGCAUCAAUAAUUCACCUCAUAUCUUCUCUAUAUAAACACAAGAGCAUGGUGCCAUACUACUCACUACUCUCAAGUUCCUCAAAUCAAGUGCUUACAAAUCCAUUUCAAACUCCUUUUUCCUUCGAUAUCAUCAUCAUAGUCGAGAGAGAUGGCUUACUCUGCCAUGACUAAGCUUGCUUUGGUGGUGGCCUUGUGCAUGGUUGUGAGCGUGCCCAUUGCUCAAGCCAUAACAUGUGGCCAAUUGUUCAGCAACCUUGCACCAUGCAUACCCUACGUGAGAGGCGGUGGAGCUGUGCCUCCAGCUUGCUGCAACGGCAUUAGGAACGUCAACAACUUGGCAAAGACCACCCCUGACCGCCAGGCCGCUUGCAACUGCCUGAAACAGCUUUCCGCCAGCAUCCCCGGAGUCAACCCUAACAAUGCCGCAGCGCUUCCCGGCAAGUGUGGAGUUAGUAUUCCUUACAAGAUUAGCGCCUCCACCAACUGCAAAACGUACGUAUUAAAAAUAAAAAGAACUCCAAGUUUUAAUUUUUGUAGGUUUGACCAAAAUUCAACGGUUCACAUUAUCUCAAAACCUAACUUUUUAAAUGUGGAUCGUUGAAAUUUUGGUCUAGCUUGUUGACAAUUAAAUGCGGAAUAUUAUAUAGUUGACUGACUUUUGGGUGUGUUUUGUUGUGGUGUUGCAGCGUGAAGUGAGCUUGACGCAGAUAAUAUAAGAGAGUGAGAAUAAAAAUGUGACUUUUGGGAUUCCUCUUGACGGAAUCGUUAAGUUAUUCUAUGUAAUCUUUUAUCUUUGUAUAACUAGUAAUAUUUAUGUUUAAGUAAUGAAUAUUGUAAUACUAUAUGGAAUUUAUAAUAAAAGAAAUGUUCUUCCCUCUUCUCUCAAAAAACAUUCUUAGAACUUUUUCCACUUUGAGGGGGAAGGAAGCCAUUGUUCUUCCCCCCUCUCCCCUCUUCUCUUCCUCCUUUCACAUCUUCCUCCAUUUUCAAAGACAAAGGGUUUUCCCUAUUUGUCUUAGUUUUGUUAUGAUUUUCAUCCAACCAUUAUAGGAGGUUGCUGCUCAGCGUCGAAUCUUCACCUGCAUUUCGGCAUCGGAUCUCCACCACCAUCUUUUUUGCAAUUUCUUAAUGUUUGGAAUAAGUUGCAGAGACUCUUUGGGUUUUCUUUAUAGUUUUCACCUCUUCUUUUGUGAGAGUUUUUCAUCUCUCCUUUGUGAGAGCUUUUCAUCUAUCUUUUGUGAGAGUUUCAUUUGUAUUGUUAUAGUUUGGUUUUUUCAAACUUUAUCUUUUUUUUAUUAUUCUAAGUUUGCAAUUUUAGUUGGGAUGCCUAUACCAGAGUUUCUUCUAUCCUGUCUGAUCGUUAGUGGAGACACACCAGAUUGUCUUAAUUUUGAUAUUAGACGGCUCUGUUAUUGUAAUGACCCUUUUGUGGCUAGUUUGUAUUGACCAUUUGUGGCUAGUGGCUUUUUGGCUGAAUUAUGAAUGAAAUCAUAUAAUUUCUUUAAUUAAUAAAUAAUUAAAAAAAACCCUCUUUUCCUUUUGUAAGAGUUAAAUAAAAAACGAAACAAAAAAUAGCAAAAGUAGCUCAUCUGAGCAACAAAUUUUGGACCCUAUUCAAUUGAAUUCAAUAGUUAAUGUUGAAUUGCUAUAGCUUAUCUCAAUAGAAAAGUUCUUCCUAUCAAUAAUUAUAAUUAAGCGUUCAGACGACAAGAUAACAUCAACAAUUAACCAAUGAAUUCAGUCAAAAUGAAAAAAUAAUUUGUCAAUUGGUGAAGAUAGAUUAAACUCCUUUAUCUCAUUUUCUUUCAUGAUCAUUACACACAGACCAUUUGGACCAACUCACACUGUUGAUGACAGCCCAAGCUGAACCAAUGCCUUGCCCUAUUGGGGCAAUAACGGUUCGGCUAAGCCUUGGCCCUUCAAGAAAAUUCGAGAUCAUUCACAAUCAUUGGUUGCUGUUGGUCAUGGAUUGAAACGUUAGGCCACGUUUUUGUUUAUCAAUCCAAAUUGUAGACCUCUUUACUAUGAAAAGUGAUCAAACGUUAGGACACUUAACAAAUAAAAAGUGGAGCUCACUUGUUAAGAUUUAACAUGUACUGUCUUCCUCAAAUAUGGCAAACUCUGGUGCACCAAUGAAGGUAGCAGUUCUUAUGUUGCUCAUGUGCAUGGUGAUGGGUACACCCUCAGCCCAGGCCAUAACGUAUAGCGAUGUGACCGCAGCCAUGUUGCCAUGCAUAAGCCACCUGCCGCCGGACCUAUAGCUUAGGUGGCUUCUAUUUUCCAGCCAAAAAAAUAAAAUCCUAACUCACCUAGGGAUGAACCUUUAGCUUGGCAAACUUAGGCUAUAGACAAAGUGACUUCUUUUUUCCAGCCAAAAAUAAUAAAAUCCUAGCUCACCCAAGGACGGACCUUUAGUUUGGGGAACCUGGGCUAUAGCCCAGGUGUGGCUUCUUUUUUCCAGUCAAAAAAAUUAAAUCCUAGCUUACCCAAUUUAAAUAACCUAACCUCAUUUAGUUAUCCUCUUUACACAGCACGUAGUCAAUAAAAAGAGAGAGGGGGAGAACACACAACACAACAAAAUAAAAAAAUUAAAAAAAGAGAAAAAAUAACUCUCACACACAGCACGUAGAAAAAAAAAAAAAAAAAAAAAAGGGAAGCACCACCCUACCCUUGCAUGUAGAGAGAGAGAGAAAAAAAAAAAAAAAAGGCUCUUCUUGAUGCUGCACUCACCUUCAAGACUUAAUUCAAGUGAAUCAAGUUCCUAUAUUCGUCAUGUAAGCUUCUCUCAAUUUCUUGAUGCUUUAAUUUGAGGAUUUUUUUGGAGUUUAUGAAGUAUCAAUUAGGAUUUGCAAUUGACACUUAUGAAUUAUCAAUUAGGAUUUGCAAUUGGGACAUCAGUUUCAGUUUAUGAGUUAUGAAUUAUCAAAUAGGAUUUGUAAUUGAUUUUAUUGUUCUUGCUUUUUUUUUAAAAAAAAAAAAUCUUAUGUUAUCAAUAAAAUCACAUGGUAUUGUUGAAUUUUCUAUUUACUUAGUACCUAAAUUUGGCCAACUUUAUUUUAAAAUCCUGAGUUCGUCCCUCAAAGAAUGCCAACACCACCGCUGAACGCCAAAACGUUUGCAUGUGUUUGAAAUUCGAGGCCAAUGGUAUCCCAGAUCUUAAGCCUAACCUUGUCUCUGGCCCUCCCUCCAGCUGUGGACUUAACCUCCCGUACAAGUUCAGCUGCAGCACGUACGUAUAAAUUUAUAUAUCUCACAAAAUCACAUAAUCAACGGACUAUAUUAUACGUUAAGUUCACUUGUUAUAGCGAUAAGUUCUCAAGAGAUAGUAACCACUAUUUUUAUUUAUUUAUUGGAUUUUAUUGUGUUGCAGCAUCAUGUGAUGAAUGAAGUUGAGAUGGACGAGCAUGCAAUAUUAAGAAAAUAUGGUGUGUGGGAAUUAAAUAUUCCCCAUGUGAUAGCAUCUAGCCGAGUUGAAAAGAGCCUAAACUUGCAGACUAGAGAUCUCAUGUUCGAACCAUCAUGACAUAAAUUGUGUGUGUAAAAAACUCCCUCUUUUAUAAUUUAAACUAUUAUUUAUACUUAAAGAACAUAAUAUAUGUCAUUUUUCAUGAAAAUAUCUGUAGCAUAUAUUGCACCGAUCAAGAGCUAUAUAUAUGACGUACGUAGUUCAACAACAAAGUUUGUCAUGUAGUUAAAAGCAUUGAAUUUAGCUGCCAACUAAUAUCCAUAUUUCGGAGCCACAUGUUCGUGGCCUUUGUUCUUUACUCUCCCACUUUUUCAUAUAUAAACCCCUCCAGACCACUCGUCCCUACCACACAGUCAAACUCACAAACCUCCAGCUACAAGUAUACAUUUUCACAAAGCUCCUUCAAAGUCUCAAUAGUUCUUCUCAAGUUAUGGCAAGCUCCCUGGCCUUCAAGCUUGUUCUGGUGGUCCUCGGGUGUACGCUGGUUGGUGCACCCUUAGCCCAAGCUGUCAUACCAUGCAGCAGGGUGUCACAAUACGUGGGACCCUGCAUAAGUUACUUGAAGACGGGUGGGGCCGUGCCUGUACCAUGCUGUAAUGGGAUUAGGUCCCUGAUCGGCUUGGCUGGGACCACACCUGACCGCCAGG